UGCAAGUUGGUAUUCAGCCAUCAACACAAGUAGGGCACAUAUGAUAAGUUGAGUUCACCUUUGAAGAAAGACAGUUCUCUCAUUGCACAAGGGACUUUUUAAAUGGAAAGUUUAAACUUACAUCAUAGAAAAGAUUCUAUUGCCUAAAGACACCCCCUUCUUCACCUUAUGGGAUGAGAUAACAACUUUGGUCAAGGCUAUUGACCCACAUUUCCAACUAUUACUUGUGGCAUAUUAGGAAAAUGGAGAUGGCUCCACAGAGCAGCUAACAGAUGCUGGUGAGGAUAUGUGAGAAAAACUUGGGUCCCACAUUCCCAUUCUCUGAACCUUAGGGAGUAGAAUAUAUGGCACCAUUUUGUAUUCUUUAUUCUACAUAAUUUGCAUUGAAAAGAAUAAUGAAGAGGCAGCGGAUAAUACAUGUAAAACAAUUACCGAAAAUAAAUGGCAACUUAAAUCAUACAGCUAUCAAAGUAGCCUAUCUGGUUUUUGUUUACCUAUUCCUUCAACCCAAUAUUAUUACAAUAUUUAUUUUUCAAAAUUGUUUUGGGUUAUUCAGAUGUGUGCUUUGGGAAUCAGAAUUGGAAAAUUUGGUCUUCGGUUUCAAGUACUUCAUUUUUGGACUCAUUUUUAAUGUGCAUAGAAUAAGACAUCUUUAAGAAUCCUAUUUUCUGGUCAGGAAAAAGUGGCAGAUGAGUAUAUUAAAAAAAAUAACUAACCAACAAACCAAGUUCUGGGCCAUAAUAUUUCCUAUGCAAACAACGUUGAAUUGAGCUGAGAAGCAUCGUGGCACCAGGAAAAACUGAGGGGCACUGAUAUCAGUUAGACCUAUUUACAUGCUCAGUAUGCAGUCUGUAACAAUGGCUUUGCUUCUCUGAGCCUAGAUUUCUCCAUUUAUAAAAAGGGAUAAUAAAACUACACAGCAUGCUAUGAAAAGGAUUAUAUGAAAUAACAUGCAUGAAGCUUUCUAUUAUACACACUUAAUCUUGGUAUUUCUUUUCUUUAUUUAGACACCUAAAGAUUAUAACUUCCAAACGGCAUGGACUUUCCCAGUUAAAAUAGACACUACCAUUUAUGUUUUUAAAAUCUUAUACAUGUGAGACUCUUGCUGUAUCUACUGGUAGAAGUGUCUCCUUCUCUGGGAACCCGGAUGCCUAGAUCCUCAGAGCCUGAAGAUAUGGGUUUCACAAAUGCCUCAAGCCACUGAGAGUGACACACUAAUGAACCGUAAUAGAAGAGGAAUUAAUCUCUGCCACACUGAAGAAACCACUGUGACUCAAGACGGAAGCUCUAAUCUUUGAAGUGAGUGCACUGCCAAUCAGCAAUUUUCUUUUGAAAUGGACCCAUUUUAUUUCACUUAGUUGCUUUUUGAAUCCUAAGUCUAUCAUACCCUUAUCUUCCUAUUAGAAUAGUGCCAGGAUAGAAACAAAUUUUGUUGUUCAGCAAAUACUAAAGUUAGAAUGGAAGCCCAGCAUGGCCUCUGAUAUAGAAUUCACCUUAUUUUUCUGCUGACUCUUUCUUGGAAUGCUACUAGAUUCUGUUCACUAUGUACUAUUUUUGUGCCUUUCUACUUCUGUGCUUCUCUAUUAUCUAUGAAAAUCUCCAUGUAUCUCACAUUCAGAGGACCCACUUUAUUGGAGCUCACCUCGGACUUUGAUCCAAUUACUCACGGCCAGGAUAGCAGGAGCACACAGGGCAAAGUAUGGCCACUUAAUGGAGCAACACUCUUGACAGGAUCUCAGAGUAUGUUGGGCUCUUAUUCAAUCCAAUUUGGGGACCAUAAGUUAUAAACUUUAAAGAUUAUUUUAACUUGCUCUUUUUCAGCCAUUUUAUCACAAUCAGGCACAGCUAUUUACCAUAUCCUAUUACACAUUAUGCCAUUCUGAAGAGGAACAAAGAAUAGUGUCCUAAAGAUUAUCCACUCUUUAUCUUAUUGUAGAGAACACAAAAGCUCAGAACGAUAGAAGGCUUGUCCUCUACAACACUGUGAGAUACUACAUAGCGCUGGGGUUAUAUAUCAGAUCUUCUUACGCCUGCCUAUUUGGGGGAUCAGAAUUUACCACCUCAAGAUGUAUCUCUUUGGCUUGAUUAUUUUACGUACAAAAGACUCAGGGAGAAACUCUGAACUUCCCCCUAAGUGCCUAAAAGAAUUUAAGACAGAAGGCCUGUUCCAGGAAGGAUUUCAUACCAUAGAUAACUAUAGCAUAAAAUAAACUAGGUGUAGUAGACAGGGAGAAACCUAGCGAGGCCCAUUUGUUCAAAGUCCGCCCCAUGUCGUGUUGUCUUCACAAGGCAUGACAAACAUUUCUUUACCAAACGUCUGCUUUUCCAUCUCCAUGUGAAUUGCCUCCCUCCCCCUUUGAAGUCCCAAACCACUAGUUCCAACAUCCUCCUUUGUUUUUAUCUGAAGAUGAUAUUUAAGGUGGUGUCUUUGGCCAUUUUAGUGAGUUACUCAGUUUUUCUGGGUGCCUCCUAUGUAUGUAUG
rnacentral:lncRNA from 1 species